AUGAGGAGAAAAUUAGAGCAAAGUGUGGGAUCAGAGAUGUGGAGAAAUUGCCAACUCAAGUGGAAAUCACUUCCCCUGAUCUUCUCAUGUUUAGAAUUGGGGUGGAAGCUGAGAAGGUGGUGGAGAUUGGUUGGUACAAAGAUGAGAAGAGGAAAAAUGAUGGCAGUAAUCUCUCAGAAGGGGGGGGGGGAGGAAGAGAUUGACAACAGGAAGAUGACUAGAAUGGGGGACAAUGAACAUAGAGGGGUCUCCUUUGGAUGUUUAUCCCUGAAACAAAGUGAGGAGGUUGAUAUAAGAAUUGAAGGAAUGAAAGCUCAAAUGGAAGAAACCAUGAUGCAGUGGCAAAAAGAGAUGGCUGUGGAGAGAGGAAAAUGGCAAAAAGAGAGUGAAAUCAUGUUCAGUAAAAUCAAAACCUUGGAGGAAGACAAGAUUAGAAACAAUGCUCUAUGGGCUAAAAAUGAAAACAGGAUCAGAGAAUUAGAAAAAAUUCAGACAGAGUUGCAGGAGAUUAGUAGAAAACAACUUGAAGAAAUCCAGAAGUUGGCACAAGAGGCUGCUAAUAGAGAGGAGUAUGAAAUGGAGUUAGCUAAUAUGGACCUUGAAGAUUAUGAGAAAGAGAGUCAACAGAAAAAGGAAGAUACUGAGUCUGGGAAAUAUAAUGAGCCCACUGAUUAUAAUGCUAGCCAAGAAUCUAUUGGGACCUUGGGGGAGAAAAUGGCUGAAAUACAUGGAAGUGAGAUCCUGGAUAAAGAGAGGGAGGAGAAAGAUGUUGAAAUCAAGAGAAGCAUGAGAAACAAAGGAAAAGAAGACAAGAAAAUUGAGGAUAUGGCUAAAAGCAGAGCUGAUGAGAGAGACAAUUAUGAUAAAGGAGCCACCAAGAAAAGCGUUGGAGCUGGGAGCAAGGGUGCUAGAGCAGGCAACAAAUGA
rnacentral:rRNA from 1 species